rnacentral:lncRNA from 1 species
AAUGAUAUUCAGUCAUACUUAGAUAGUAGAGUCCAUGAUCUUGUGAAUAAAUGUCAUUGAUUUCUUUACAUAUUUAAUAUGCCUAUUUGGGAAGAAAUGUUCGGCUAGGAAAGAUAUGAUCGAAUUUUCCCUUACUUGAUUCCAAAAAUCCUUAAUUUUAUGGAUUCUUAGUUGUUGUUUGAGGUGAAAUGAAAAGGAAAAAAAUUUCCCUUGUGAGAGAAAAUCUAUCGCGGGUGAGAGAGGAAUUUUGUGGCUGUUCUCCCUUUUUUUAAUGGGCUUGGUGUUUCCCAUUUAAGGCCUUCAAAGUUUGGCCCAAGAUUUCCUUCUUUAUAU